GCAGUCGCGCGGUAAUACGAAGGGUGCAAGCGUUAAUCGGAAUUACUGGGCGUAAAGCGUGCGUAGGCGGUGAGUUAAGUCUGCUGUGAAAUCCCCGGGCUCAACCUGGGAAUGGCAGUGGAUACUGGCUCGCUAGAGUGUGUCAGAGGAUGGUGGAAUUCCCGGUGUAGCGGUGAAAUGCGUAGAGGUCGGGAGGAACAUCAGUGGCGAAGGCGGCCAUCUGGGACAACACUGACGCUGAGGCACGAAAGCGUGGGGAGCAAACAGGAUUAGAUACCCCAGUAGUCCCUGUCUCUUAUACA
rnacentral:rRNA from 1 species